GCAUAUCAAUAAGCGGAGGAAAAGAAACUAACAAGGAUUCCCCUAGUAACUGCGAGUGAAGCGGGAAAAGCUCAAAUUUAAAAUCUGGCGGCUUUGUCGUCCGAGUUGUAAUCUGGAGAAGCGUUUUCCGUGUCGGACCGUGCACAAGUCUCUUGGAACAGAGCGUCAUAGAGGGUGAGAAUCCCGUCUUUGGCACGGACAGCCGAUACUUUGUGAUACGUUUUCAAAGAGUCGAGUUGUUUGGGAAUGCAGCUCAAAAUGGGUGGUAAAUUCCAUCUAAAGCUAAAUAUAGGCGAGAGACCGAUAGCGAACAAGUACCGUGAGGGAAAGAUGAAAAGCACUUUGGAAAGAGAGUUAAAUAGUACGUGAAAUUGUUGAAAGGGAAACGCUUGAAGUCAGUCGCGUCUGCCGGGACUCAGCCUUACUUUUGUAUGGUGUAUUUCCUGGUUUGACGGGUCAACAUCGAUUUUGACCGAUGGAUAAAGGAGAAGGGAAUGUGGCACCUUCGGGUGUGUUAUAGCCCUCUUUGUAUACAUCGGUUGGGAUCGAGGACUGCAGCACGCCCUUGUGGCCGGGGGUUCGCCCUACGUAUCGUGCUUAGGAUGUUGACAUAAUGGCUUUAAGCGACCCGUCUUGAAACACGGACC
rnacentral:rRNA from 1 species